rnacentral:rRNA from 1 species
UACGUAGGGUGCAAGCGUUAAUCGGAAUUACUGGGCGUAAAGCGUGCGCAGGCGGUUUUGUAAGUCUGACGUGAAAUCCCCGGGCUCAACCUGGGAAUUGCGCUUGUGACUGGCGUGCUGGAGUGUGGCAGAGGGAGGUGGAAUUCCACGUGUAGCAGUGAAAUGCGUAGAGAUGUGGAGGAACACCGAUGGCGAAGGCAGCCUCCUGGGCCAGCACUGACGCUCAUGCACGAAAGCGUGGGGAGCAAACAGG